rnacentral:rRNA from 1 species
AUGCCGGAAGGAGUAAAUUCUACUUCUACUAUUCUUAUUCCAAAAAUUCCUAACCCUACUAGUUUGUCUCAUUACAGACCUAUCAGCCUAUGUAAUGUUAUAUACAAGGUCAUAUCCAAGUGCUUGGUGAACCGUAUGAGGCCUUUACUUGACGAUAUCAUCUCUCCAGAGCAAAGUGCCUUCAUUCCAGGGCGUAUGAUUACAAACAAUGCUCUUGUGGCCUUCGAGUGUAUUCACCAUAUUAAGGAAGAGAAGGAUCCAACAAAAAGUUUCUAUGCCUACAAGUUGGACCUCUCAAAGGCUUACGACAGGGCAGAUUGGAAGUUCUUGAAGCAAGUGAUGCAAAAGCUGGGUUUCUCUCAGCGAUGGGUGGACUGGAUAAUGUCUUGUGUCACAUCGGUGAGAUAUUCUGUCAAACUUAAUGGUACCCUCUUAGAUUCAUUUGCAUCGUCGUGUGGUCUUUGGCAAGGCGAUCCUCUAUCCCCCUUCUUGUUCCUUUUCGUGGCAGAUGGUCUGUCUGCUAUUCUGAAGCAUUAUGUGUCUUCUGGUGAUAUAUCUCCGAUCAAGGUGUGUAGAAGAGCACCGGGUAUCUCACAUCUCUUAUUUGCUGAUGACACCAUGCUUUUCUUUGAGGCUAGCAGAGCCUAG